rnacentral:rRNA from 1 species
CCCUUAGAUGUUCUGGGCCGCACGCGCGCUACACUGACGGAUUCAACGAGCUUACAACCUUGGCCGAAAGGUCUGGGUAAUCUCCAAAAUCCGUCGUGAUGGGGAUAGAUUAUUGCAAUUAUUAAUCUUCAACGAGGAAUGCCUAGUAAGCGCAAGUCAUCAGCUUGCGUUGAUUACGUCCCUGCCCUUUGUACACACCGCCCGUCACUCCUACCGAUUGAAUGGUCCGGUGAAGCGUUUGGACUAUGGUUUUCUGAUGGUCCGCCGUUGGAUUACCGUGGGAAGUUCGUUAAACCUUAUCAUUUAGAGGAAGGAGAAGUCGUAACA